GGCCGAAAUUCGCCUUCCAUGAAGCCGGAAUUGCUAGUAAUGGCAGGUCAGCAUACUGCCGUGAAUACGUUCCCGGGCCUUGUACACACCGCCCGUCACACCAUGAGAGUUGGGAAUACCCGAAGCCUGUGAGCUAACGUUAAGAGGCAGCAGUCGAAGGUAGAAUCAAUGAUUGGGGUGAAGUCGUAACAAGGUAUC
rnacentral:rRNA from 1 species